rnacentral:rRNA from 1 species
CGAAYUGUAGUCUGGAGAGGCGAGGCCAGCCGGCGGCGGGGGCGAAGUCUCUUGGAAAAGAGCAUCAAGGAGGGUGACAAUCCCGUUCUUGCCCCCAGUUCCGUCGCGCGUACGGCCCGUUUUCUACGAGUCGAGUUGCUUGGGAUUGCAGCUCAAAGCGGGUGGUAAAUUCCAUCUAAAGCUAAACACGGGUGGGAGACCGAUAGCGAACAAGUACCGUGAGGGAAAGAUGCAAAGAACUUUGAAAAGAGAGUUAAAGAGUGCCUGAAAUUGCUGAAAGGGAAGCGAAGGAAACCAGUGUCUGACAGUUUCGCUUCUCCUCUGCCCCUCGGGGCGUUGGUUUGCGGUUCUGCCGUGGCCAGGGCCGGGUGGAGUCGCGGGAGCCUGCACCUCGGAAGGUAGCCCUCUUCGGAAGGUGAAUACCGUGGUGUGUCGUCGCGAUUCCGGCCGGUUCUGACGAAAUGGUUUUCUUUACCCCGUCU